CACCUAUAUGUGAAGGCUGAUCUGAAAGUAACGCCUCCUGUUUUAUUAUAAUGGGCCACAAUGGCAGAGGCAGAUGUUCGUGGGAUGGAAAUAUUCCCUUAUAUUUUAUUGCUGUGUGACAGAUGGAAGCAGAGGGGCAGUCUGACAAAAUAGUGUCUGACAUGGAAGUGCAGAUGAAACAAAGGAUUUGUGGACAUUCUGAAGAAGAAAAUGAGAAUACGUAAUUGCCAUGAGAAGUUGUAGCUGUACCCUGUUCACCACGUGUGUGUUAUUCAGCAUCCCGACCAGGAAAAACAAGUGAAUGGGGCUUUCUGUGCACAGCUUAAAUUAACUUCACAUUCACCAACACUGGUUCUCAUAGAAGAUGUUAAUCACCUUGAUAUCUGUUGGAGGAAUAACACAGCAGAGCAUAAGUAACCUAGGCAGUUCCUGGACACAUCAGCACUUGCUGACCCAAGAG
ensembl:lncRNA